rnacentral:rRNA from 1 species
AGGAGCGACCAUAUCAGCACAACUUCACGGGAUUCCAUCAGAACUCCGAAGUUAAGCGUUCUUGGGUGAGAAUAGUUCUAAGAUGGGCUUGCCUUAUGACUUUCAUA